rnacentral:tRNA from 1 species
CAGAACGUGGCUGAAUUAGUUAAGCAUCUCACUUACACCGAGAAGAAAUCCUUGCGAACAGGGUCGUUCUGA